rnacentral:tRNA from 1 species
GGGGCAGUAGCUCAGUGGGAGAGCACACGGCUGAAGACCGUGGUGUCGCGAGUUCGAAUCUCGCCUGCCCCA